UACGGAGGAUCCAAGCGUUAUCCGGAAUCAUUGGGUUUAAAGGGUCCGUAGGCGGCUUAAUAAGUCAGUGGUGAAAGCCCUACGCUUAACGUAGGAACGGCCAUUGAUACUGUUAGGCUUGAAUUAUUAGGAAGUAACUAGAAUAUGUAGUGUAGCGGUGAAAUGCUUAGAGAUUACAUGGAAUACCAAUUGCGAAGGCAGGUUACUACUAAUGGAUUGACGCUGAUGGACGAAAGCGUGGGUAGCGAACAGGAUUAGAUACCCUGGUAGUCCACGCCGUAAACGAUGGAUACUAGCUGUUGGGAGCAAUUUCAGUGGCUAAGCGAAAGUGAUAAGUAUCCCACCUGGGGAGUACGAACGCAAGUUUG
rnacentral:rRNA from 1 species